GCUGUGGCUCAGUGGUAGAGUGCUUGCCUAGCAUAUGUGAGGAACUGGAUUCGAUCCUCAGCAUUGCA
rnacentral:tRNA from 1 species